rnacentral:tRNA from 1 species
GCAUCAGUAACUCAGUGGUAGAAUUCUCACCUUCCAUGUGGCAGACCCAGGUUCAAUUCUUGGCAAGUGUA